rnacentral:sRNA from 1 species
UAGAAAAUUGAUUUUUUGACCAAAUAAAAAUAGAAUAUAUCAUCUCGUCCGACCAAAUGAUUUUCUAAUCGAGAAAACAAAUCGAAACAUGUAUUCAAUCAAAAAACUCAAAAGAAUACAAAAUAAAAUAAAAACAACGAUGCCAUGAAAUAGUUAAAAAAUUACACUAGCUAAUGAGUGAAUAAAAGGAUAGAUGAUACUUAUGUUUGAUUCUUGAUUUUUAUUUUCAUCGGAUGCCAUAAUUGAGAGAAUAGAGUUACAAUAUAUUGAUUAGGGUUUUCUAAUAAAAAUAAGAUAUAUAAAAGAUUAGAUUAUUUUAAUUAUAGUGAUUAGGGUUUGGGUGUAAGCCACAGUUAUUUUAAUUAAUUAAAAAAG